UUCGCAUAUUUGAUUGUUAGACAUGUGUACAGUUUAUUUUUAAACUGUAAAUGACUACAAAGGGUUGUUGUUAGAACUUACCCAAAUGCUUGAAAGGCAAAUAGUUAACAUAAAUGGUAUUUAAUUUUCAAUUUAUUGUAGGCUAAUCAUAAUUACUUCCGCACCCUCAUUUUAUUUUAAGUAGCCUAUUUUAAUUCCGAAGAGAAAAAAAAGUUUGGUUUGGCUGAUAUUUAUUGACUUAUAUAUUUAGUUACAUAAUGCUGAUAAUUAACGGUAACACUUUACAAUAAGGUGUCAUUUGUUAACAUCAGUUAAUGUAUUAACUAACAUGGACAAAUAAUGAACAAUAUAGCUAUUUAUUAAUCAUAAUGUUAGUUAAUAAAAAUACAGCCGUUCAUUGUUCAUGUUAGUUCAGAGUGAAUUAACUAAUGUUAACCAUCACAACUUGUGAUUUUAAUAGUUUAAUGCAUUAGUAAAUAAUUAAUAAAUCCUGUAGAAGCAUUGUUCUUUCUUAGUUCAUAUAAACUAAUGUAGUUAAAUAAUAAUCCUUAUUGUAAAGUGUUAACUUAUUAACUUCUUAACUUCUUUAGGAAAACGAUAUCUCAAUAAAUACAGUGGGUUGUUUUCAGAAGUUAUCACAUAGAGGCCUAUGCUUGCAACACUAAAAGAUAACAUAGCUGUUUUUAAUUUUGCGCUUGAAUUUAUUGCAAUCAUAAACACUUCCCUAUCCUUAUUUUAUGUUGAGCAUUUUGAUUCUGAAAAUAAUCUUAAAAACAAGGUUUGGUUUGGCGGACAUUGUUAACAUAUCUUUUCAUAUUAACAAUAACAAAUGUGGAAUUUGUUCAGUAAAGACUAGCACCACUUUUAUUUGUUCCAGAGGGACAGUCAGACAUCUGAAGUGUGUUCAUCAAAUACAGGAACAUUUUCAUUUAUUUUGUGGAUUUUUUAAACGCCAUCUAAAACUACAGGCAUAUUCCCAUCUGUAGAUUUACCAGAUCACCUGAUGGCAUAAACAAAACAUCCUGAUGCAUGACAAACAACAAGUGCGAUGACAGCAAUGGAUUGUGACAUCCAGCCUUGUCCUCCCAUCCUCAACAUGCCACCCCCUGUCACCACAGACAAUGUCAAUCACGGAAAAUAGAAGCAACUGUCAGAGACGCUAUCUCAUUGUCGGCAACCUU